GACAGAGGAUGCAAGCGUUAUCCGGAAUGAUUGGGCGUAAAGCGUCUGUAGGUGGCUUUUAAGUCCGCCGUCAAAUCCCAGGGCUCAACCCUGGACAGGCGGUGGAAACUACCAAGCUGGAGUACGGUAGGGCAGAGGGAAUUUCCGGUGGAGCGGUGAAAGUGCGUAGAGAUCGGAAAGAACACCAACGGCGAAAGCACUCUGCGUGGCCGACACUGACACUGAGAGACGAAGCUAGGGGAGCGAAUGGG
rnacentral:rRNA from 1 species